UCUGUCUGUGACUGUCCCCAGUGUGAUUAUUUUGGACCCACCUGGAUAACCCAGGAUAAUAUUCCCAACUCACAAUGCUUAACACAUCCUCAAAGUCCCUUUUGCCAUGUGAGGGAACGUGCUCACAGGUCUGAGGGAUUGGAACAUGGACAUCUCUGAAGGGCCCUUAUUCUGUCUUUCUACAGAGACUCUCAACAAAGGGAUAACAUCUGAUCUACCUUAGAGAACACGAGUGCACGAGUUGGGGGAAGAGAAGGAAGAUCAACAGAGACCAUUCCAAUAGAGCAGUGAGCAAGCAGAGGUGCACUUGACCUUGACUGCUAUCCCUGAAGAGAUAAGAGGAAAAAGUGAUUGAUUCUCAGACUAUCCAACCAAACUGGUUCUACUGAUUCCCAGUAGGGUGCUUUUUCAGCCAUCCCAGGAUCAGACUUUGUAGGAACCACCAGGGUCUGUAUGACUGUUCUGAAAGGAAGAGGCCAGGACUGGAAUGGAGGAGAAGAAGGAUAAGACUAAGGCUCUGGUCUGAUGUAGUAAGUCAAAGAAUGACCGCCCUGAGAUUUCCAGUCCUAACCCUGGACUUUGUAAAGGUCACCUUUUCUAGCUUUUACCCUUGGGGAAAAGGGUCUUUGCAGGUGUGAGUACACUGAGGAUCUUCAGAUGAAAAGUUACCCUGUAUUACCAGCGUGGGCCACAACACCAUCACUGCUAUCUUUAUCAGAGAGAGGCAAAGGGAGCCAACACAGGCACACAAAGGGGGAGCUGGGGUGCAGAUGUGGCCGCAAGACAAGGAAUACUGCCAGCUGCCAGCGGCUGGAAGGGGUGAGGAGCAGAGUCUCCCUUUGAGCCUUUGAGCUUCCAGAGAGAGCGCAGCCCUACCCACCGCUUGAUUUUAGCCUUCUGGCCUCCAGAACUGCCUAUCUCUAUUGUUUUAAGAGGAUAAUUCGAUCGGGAUAAAUUUCUACUGUUUUAAGCCAUCCAGGUUGUAGUCAUCUGUUCCAGCAACCCCAAGAAAUUGAUACACCUAGCGUGGACAAGAUUGUAGCCUACAGUCUGACCCAGAUGCCAGUAAAUCGACCAAACUGGAUUCUGGAAGCACACCUUCCAAUGUGGGGCGCCCCAGGCAAGCACAGGCAGGGGUGAAAUCUCACUCCUAAUUGUCCGGGGAACAAGAUGAAAAGAAACUAAGAAGGCCGUCCUAGCAACCAGAGGACCCGGAUGACUUUAAGCCCCUUCCCCAUUCGCGCUGUCCCCACCGGCAGGAACCAGGAGCAAGGACCCCCCACCUCUGUGGGCGUAGCCCUCGUGCAGGGCCCCUGAAGACAGCUGUUGCUCUGUAUGGUUCAGGCCCGGGGACCGCUCACCUCCCCCUCAAAGUACACCCACCUGGGGCUGGCUCCAACUCCUUUAUGUCUGAUGCAGCAGAGAGUGGUGGAAAGCUACAGAGAAUGGACAAAACUCACAGACCAUCUGUUCAUCUUCUGUGUUUUGUGAAUUUAUUUUCAAAUGUUAAGCAUUUGAUAGCAGUUGUCAGGCAUUAUCUCCAAAGCUACCAUUUGGAUAAAGAUAUCCUCUUAAAUAUCCAGGAGAAUCACUCAAAGAUCAGUGAUUCUCCAGGGUUUGGAAGAAAGGAUUUCAGGAAGAAAAGCCAGACCAAGUCUUGCUGAAAGGACGGUGUAGGAAAUGGAGAAAUUUCUCAAUCGAGAAUCACAGGCUCUGGGAUGAAAGCCUAUGGAUAUCUCCUGGCCUUGGAGCCAGGCAGAUAAGCCAAGUGCAUGAAGCAUUCCAGGGGGGAAAAUCACAAGUGUUGUGAGCCAAGAGUUUUUGACUGGAAGAGUACCUUGUCCUGUCUGAUGUGAGCAACCACUGUGGUGUCCUCUCCCAGAGACAAUGUGCGGGAAUACAGGCCGGUUCUCACCAAGGCGAAGUCCACAUUAGCCUCAUAUAAACCGCAGGAGCUGGAUGUUAUCAUUCAACCCAUUUUUAUGGACGAUAAAGCAGAAUCUCGAGGUUCCAAGGAACUUGAAUAAGGUCAAACAGCUGUCUAUGCCUUCAAGCAGCUUUUCUGGGGAGAGAGUGUUUGCGCCCACACUGGCAAAUCUGAGUCCCUGGCCACGCGCCGGCUGCGACGGGGCUGUUGCCAUGACCACCCACCCCAGCACCUGGAACCCAGCCUUUAGAGGGGCUCACUUGAGAGCCGCAUGAACGUUUUUCAGGUUCAGAACUGUACUCAAGGAGUUAAGUUGUCCAGAGGCGCACAGCUAGGAUGCCACAAGACCAUGGAUUGUCAUGGAUUCCCGGUCCAACGUGUAUGAAUUGAGCUCCUACCAUGUGCCCCACACUGUGCUGGACUCUGGAGACACUGCGGAGAAGACUUCGUGCAUGCGGACUCCAGGGCGGCAGGCGGGUGGUAAGGAAACAGACAAGCAAGCGAGUCAAUAAAUAACAGCAUUGCUGUGUGAGCCUUGCUGGGAAGAGCAGUGAGGCUGGUAGGAGCCAAAGAGCUGCCUUCAAUCCCCUCCGAGGAAGUGGCCUUUGUGGGAUGUGCAUCCCGGGCAGCAGAAACACCCAGAGGGGAGCCAGGGUUGGGCGAAGGACCUGGCACAUUCAAGAAGCAAAAUAAAGACAACAGCCUCGAAGUGAAUGAAAGAAAACAGGGUGCGAGAUGAAGACAAAGAGGGAGGUGAGGCCAGACUUCACACGGCCCUGUUGACCAAGGUAAAGAGAACAUAGGUCUGUUCUAAGAAACAUGGGAAAUGUGGAAGUUUUUGCUUUUUCAUUGGGUAGUGACAGGAUCUGGUUAACUUCUAAAAAAGUGGCAUUUCUGGCUGUUCCAUGGACCCACCUGAGGGGGCGACACGUAGGCCAGGAAACUACUCAGCGUUGGCCAAAGGGCAUACAGUUGGACCUUGUAACCCUGAACUUGAACUGAACACCAGACCCUUGGGAUCCGAGACUUGAACUGCUUGGCCUGACCAGAGCACUCUAUCCUGAGCGAGAAUUCUCUCGACUCACGCAACGGGCUUGACGAACCCGCGUGUGGAAAAGCCCAAAUCAUAAGGUUCUGAAUUCAGGAUGAGAGAGUGGGCCAGGGGCAUGGGAAGGAGAGGGUAGCCACAAUAGUUUCCAUUAGUUAAUUUAAAAAAUUAUCAAUUAAAAGUGCAAUGUGCAAUUCAUGCUGGAACACCAGAAAAUCUUGAUGAAAUUGAUACUUCUCUGGAAAACAGUCAUUAGCAUUCUUUCCUAGUAUAAUAUAAUCUUAAAUAAAGGAGCAUAGUGAUUAUUAAGAGGGCAGGCUCCCCCAUCAGAUGGAUAUGGGUUCAAAUCCAGCCUCUACUGCGUACUAGCCGUGUAAUCUCAGGCAACACUCAAUUUCUUCCCUUGUAUCUUUUUUUUUUAAUUUUUAAUUUU